GACGAACGCUGGCGGCGUGCUUAACACAUGCAAGUCGAACGGAAAGGCCCUGCUUUUGUGGGGUGCUCGAGUUGCGAACGGGUGAGUAACACGUGAGUAACCUGCCCUUGACUUUGGGAUAACUUCAGGAAACUGGGGCUAAUACCGGAUAGGAGCUCCUGCUGCAUGGUGGGGGUUGGAAAGUUUCGGCGGUUGGGGAUGGACUCGCGGCGUAUCAGAUUGUUGGUGGGGUAGUGGCUUACCAAGGCUUUGACGGGUAGCCGGCCUGAGAGGGUGACCGGCCACAUUGGGACUGAGAUACGGCACAGACUACUACGGGAGGCAGCAGUGGGGAAUAUUGCACAAUGGGAGGAAGCAUGAUGCAGUAACGCAGCGUGCGGGAUGACGGCCUUCGGGUUGUAAAGCGCUUUCGCCUGUGACGAAGCGUGAGUGACGGUAAUGGGUAAAGAAGCACCGGCUAACUACGUG
rnacentral:rRNA from 1 species